rnacentral:tRNA from 1 species
GGGUGAUUAGCUCAAUCGGUAGAGCAGCGGACUCUUAAUCCGUUGGCUAAAGGUUCAAGUCCUUUAUCACCCACCA